rnacentral:rRNA from 1 species
UACAGAGGUCCCAAGCGUUGUUCGGAUUCACUGGGCGUAAAGGGUGCGUAGGUGGUGAGGUAAGUCGGAUGUGAAAGCUCGGAGCUCAACUCCGAAAUGGCAUUGGAAACUACCUUGCUCGAGGGAUGGAGGGGGGACUGGAAUUUACGGUGUAGCGGUGAAAUGCGUAGAUAUCGUAAGGAAGACCAGUGGCGAAGGCGGGUCUCUGGACAGUUCCUGACGCUGAGGCACGAAGGUCAGGGGAGCAAACGGG